CCAAUAGCGUAUAUUAAAGUUGUUGCAGUUAAAAAGCUCGUAGUUGAAUUUCGAGAUCAAAUUGUUGGUCGUGCCUUGGUACGCACUGGCAUUAUUGGUUUCUCCCUUCUGACGAACCAUGAUGUCAUUAAUUUGGUGUCUUGGGGAAUCAGGACUGUUACUUUGAAAAAAUUAGAGUGUUUAAAGCAGGCUCACGCUUGAAUACAUUAGCAUGGAAUAAUGAAAUAGGACGUUUGAUUCUAUUUUGUUGGUUUCUAGGAUCGACGUAAUGAUUAAUAGGGAUAGUAGGGGGCAUUAGUAUUCAAUUGUCAGAGGUGAAAUUCUUGGAUUUAUUGAAGACUAACUACUGCGAAAGCAUUUGCCAAGGAUGUUUUCAUUAAUCAAGAACGAAAGUUAGGGGAUCGAAGACGAUCAGAUACCGUCGUAGUCUUAACCAUAAACUAUGCCGACUAGGGAUCGGAUGAUGUUAAUUUUUUAAUGACUCAUUCGGCGCCUUACG
rnacentral:rRNA from 1 species